rnacentral:snRNA from 1 species
AGGCAAGUCAUCCUUGGCU